rnacentral:ncRNA from 2 species
UAAAUUAAAGGGGAUGGAGCUCCCCAUUGCUUACUGUUUAAAUAACAUUUGAUGGCUCCUAUCUAUUU